UGUGUUGAGUUGUACAUAUUUAGCCAUGAAAUCAUCUUGUUGGAAUUCUAAUAUUCUAUGAAUUUUUUUCAAUUUCAUUCCCAGCUGGAGAUAGAGUUGCAGGUUUCGAUAAUGGAGUACGUAGUCUUUCUUGUCUUCUAGAGUGCAGAGUUCAACGAUGGCGGUGUGGAAGCAGCUUCCAAAGAAGUGGCACCUGCAGCACUCUGGUCUUCUCGCAUUGCGUAGCGGUGGUCAUUAUCGAUCAGUGAAGUUUGAGGAUGUGCUGAAGAUUUUUUUCGGGAGAGUCGGAACACAAUCAAAGUUUGAUGAGGGAAUAUCUCUGUUCGUAGUUUAUAUAACUGAUUUGAAUGGACUUAUAUCAACCACUGCAAUGGUUUGAGAGCGACACUCAAGUCGAUUGAAUGGGUACUUGGCUGUACUACUUUUCAACAUCUCAGAAUGGGCAACGAUGAUAGCUGGAUUGACUCUGACUUUCUUUGCUAGAAGUCUGUUCUGAUGGAGAAACUGAGUUGAUGCUGACACUACUUUCUGGAGCAGACUUUUGUGAGGUUGCAAAUCCCUUCCCAACCUGAGAAGGCUUCCAUUGCUGUGGAGUGCAUUGAACGACAUCAUGGCCUAGAAGAACAUACCCAGGGAUAAUACCAGCAGCAACAAGUACCACGCAACCGCCAAAAUGCACGCCGCCAUUUUGAAGAACGUCUGAGUGAACCGAUGGUUUCCAUGGAUUCCAUGAAGAUUCAAUUGAUUUGUUGGUUUUUAAUU